rnacentral:rRNA from 1 species
GAUGAACGCUGGCGGCGUGCCUAAUACAUGCAAGUCGAGCGAACGGACGAGAAGCUUGCUUCUCUGAUGUUAGCGGCGGACGGGUGAGUAACACGUGGAUAACCUACCUAUAAGACUGGGAUAACUUCGGGAAACCGGAGCUAAUACCGGAUAAUAUUUUGAACCGCAUGGUUCAAAAGUGAAAGACGGUCUUGCUGUCACUUAUAGAUGGAUCCGCGCUGCAUUAGCUAGUUGGUAAGGUAACGGCUUACCAAGGCAACGAUGCAUAGCCGACCUGAGAGGGUGAUCGGCCACACUGGAGCUGAGACACGGUCCAGACUCCUAAGGGAGGCAGCAGUAGGGAAUCUUCCGCAAGGGGCGAAAGCCUGACGGAGCAACGCAGCGUGAGUGAUGAAGGUCUUCGGAUCGUAAAACUCUGUUAUUAGGGAAGAACAUAUGUGUAAGUAACUGUGCACAUCUUGACGGUACCUAAGCAGAAAGCCACGGCUAACUACGU